GACGAACGCUGGCGGCGUGCUUAACACAUGCAAGUCGAACGGAAAGGCCCUGCUUUUGUGGGGUGCUCGAGUGGCGAACGGGUGAGUAACACGUGAGUAACCUGCCCUUGACUUUGGGAUAACUUCAGGAAACUGGGGCUAAUACCGGAUAGGAGCUCCUGCUGCAUGGUGGGGGUUGGAAAGUUUCGGCGGUUGGGGAUGGACUCGCGGCUUAUCAGCUUGUUGGUGGGGUAGUGGCUUACCAAGGCUUUGACGGGUAGCCGGCCUGAGAGGGUGACCGGCCACAAUGGGACGGAGAUACGGCCCAGACUCCUACGGGAGGCAGCAGUGGGGAAUAUUGCACAAUGGGCGGAAGCCUGAUGCAGCAACGCCGCGUGCGGGAUGACGGCCUUCGGGGUGUAAACCGCUUUCGCCUGGGACGAAGCGUGAGUGACGGUAAUGGGUAAAGAAGCACCGGCUAACUACGUG
rnacentral:rRNA from 1 species